GGGGCCGGGGGAAAGUUGGAGCGAAGGGGCCGGGACCGGGGGCACUUGGUGCGCGGCUCCAGGAGCGGGAGGAGCGGGCGGCGAGGCCCCGGGCCUGUGGGGCCCGAACCGCCAUGGCGGGAGCAGCGCGGCGGGGGAGGGAGCGGGGCGGGCAGCGGUGUCCCGGGCCGGGGCGGAGGGGACGCGGGCAGCGGGGAGACACGGAGCGGGACAAGGAGGAGAGCGGCGGAGGUGACUACGAGGGAGCGACGAAAAUGGGUGUGUUGGCAUCCUCCAGCACCAGAAAUAACCUCCUUGCACCUAUCCUGCUCACUCCAGUCUCUGCUUUCCAAGCCUGGAGAUAACAGAGGGACAGUCAGUACCUCGGGGAAGACUGGCCAAGUUGUUGCAGGUACAAAGCUGCCUGGCGGGUGGCCCGAGGACUUGGAAGCUGCACGUUGCUUUCCAGUAUUUGUUGAGGAGCUUUUGGUACCCUGUGGCUUGUGGCCGUGUCCUUGUGCUGGGACAAGGAGGAGGAAAGUGCUCUGGUGGCACUCCUAGAAGUGCUGCUGAUCAGGGGGUGCUCUUGGGGGGUGCCCUGUGUGUUACCUGAAGAUGUAUGAGAGCAGAAGGGAAGGGCAGAGCUCAAACAAGCCCUAAUCCAGCUCAGUCAGGAGGAAUCGGGGUUCUUUCAAAUCCCAUCUGCCCUCCGAUUUGUGGCCCAUAAAGCCACAGUCAUUCUGCUGAGGUUUGUGCCAUUUAAUGCUUCAUCUCCAAGUUUUCUGCUUGCUUGGUAACAACUCCAGGCACCGCUUUUGAGGUGCAGCCUCCCAAAAUCAUAUCGAAAGAGCUGGAGGUGUCUCCUCCCAUGAGGAACACGCAGAGUGCAGCUAUGGGCUGUGAGAUUUAUCUCUUCCCUUCUGUUCUAUAUUGGUGCUUUAUGACUUUGUCUGAGCUGGAUGUUUUGGAUGACAUUUGCUAAGCACAGCCUUUGCCCACCCUGGAGAGAGGCGUUUUCUACACGUUGGGUUGUCUCAAGGUACUGGUGGGAUUACAGUUGGUUCACAGAGUUAUUUAUAUCAAGGGUUAUUGAUUUACUGGGUAUCUCUUGCAGCAGGAGGGGUUUUGUCUGACAGAAGUUAAAUCUCUGCCUUCUUCCCCAUCACUUCCAGCUGGAUUUUACUUGUCAAGACAAGCCUCAACGUUUCCAAAGCCUCAGAGCAUCUGGCAAAGGGAACCUGAAUUCGUCGGGUUUGCAUUAGAUGUGCUGAGGUUGUUAGUGCUGUGAGCAGCAGUAUCUUGCCUUUAAUAAAGAGCAUGUUUAGGAGUAAA
rnacentral:lncRNA from 1 species